AGAAUCAACGCUGGCGGCGUGCCUAACACAUGCAAGUCGAACGAGAAAGUGGAGCAAUCCAUGAGUACAGUGGCGACCGGGUGAGUAACACGUGACUAACCUACCCUCGAGUGGGGAAUAAACUCCGGGAAACCGGAGCUAAUACCGCAUAACAUCGCAAGAUCAAAGCCGAAAGGCGCUUGAGGAGGGGGUCGCGGCUGAUUAGCUAGUUGGCGGGGUAAUGGCCCACCAAGGCUUAGAUCGGUAUCCGGCCUGAGAGGGCGCACGGACACACUGGAACUGAAACACGGUCCAGACUCCUACGGGAGGCAGCAGUGGGGAAUUUUGCGCAAUGGGGGAAACCCUGACGCAGCAACGCCGCGUGGAGGAUGAAGUCCCUUGGGAUGUAAACUCCUUUCGACCGGGAAGAUACUGACGUACCGGAAGAAGAAGCACCGGCUAAACUCUGCGCCAGCAGCCGC
rnacentral:rRNA from 1 species